AAUAGAGGAACUCAGUCUAAGAACGCCAGGUCCUGUGACUACGGCAGAGUGACCAACAUCAUGUUGU
rnacentral:sRNA from 1 species